UAACAGCAUCAAUCAAGCUCUAUCGUUGUCUAGGGGUAAAUGACCAAUUUCAAAAUUACUCAAAGUUCAGUCCAGUUAGUAGUUCAGUUCGCAGUAAUCAUUGCCAUGGCGGUGGACAACGUGGGGGAAGAGAGACAUAGAACAGGAACAACUGAUCAUUCAGAACGGCUUCACUCACAGACCAGCAAGAUGGCUCACAGACCAGCAAGAUGGCUCACAAACAGCUUUUGGGCAGGUCCUUGGUGAUGUCACCUGAGGUCACCGACUGUGACCCCUCCUCCAGAUGCGGUCGAUCCUCUGCAGUGAACCCGGCACCCAGGCAAGGGCGGACACACACCGGGUUCCCGCUGAUCGUACCUUUCCACCCUUGUCGUUGUCUGGUACUUCUCACCCACUCGUGAGAAGCGCACCGCUUCCAGGGUCUCGUUACCUCGGGUGGCGUGUGUGUCUGUCUUAGCGAACCUGUCCCUUUUUAUCCCCCUGCUGGGGUAUCGCCUGUCCAUCACUUCAAACAGUUCAGGGUUCAAAGGGGGGAGCCGCUCCAGACAGCUCUCUCUCCCACAUCCCUUCAUUACACAUCUCCAGACGCUGCUCCAUUGUUCCUUAUCUCUCCUUCCCCUGAGGGCAGGUAGCAGACCAACUGCUGAUGCCACUGAUGCUAGCCCAGGCCAGCAAACAUCUUAAUUUUAUGUGUAUUCUCGUAACACUGUGGUACAAAAUCAGGGGGGAUUGAUAUGUCACUGUACCACACCACAGUAUCUAAAGGUGGGGAUGAGUUUCUGACUGUAGAACAUGAGGGGACAAUCCAGCAGUGUAUGGAUCUUUUGCUGAAAAACACCCGGGUGCAAUUUCUGUGGAUAUGGGAAUGACACAGUAUAUGUAAUAGGUGGGGAGUUCUCUGUCACUAUAUACCACCAGGGUACAGUACUGGAGAAGACUUGUCUAUCGCUGUUCAACGCUGUGGUACAGCACUGGGGGUGAUGGUUCUGUCAUUGUAUAACUGUGGGGAACAAUCCUGGAAGUGAUGUUUCUUUCACUGUACCACUACAAGGUAGAAUACCAGUGGACACACAUAGAAGUUUCUGGUGUACGCAGCAGACCAGGCAGCAUCUCUAGGAAGAGAUACAGUCGACGUUCCGGGCCCGAGAUCCUUCGUCAUGACGAACUGAAAGAAGAGCUGGUAGAAUACCAGUGGACACACAUAGAAGUUUCUGGUGAACGCAGCAGACCACGCAGCAUCUCUAGGAAGAGAUACAGUCGACGUUUCGGGCCGAGAUCCUUCGUCAUGACGAACUGAAAGAAGAGCUGGUAGAAUACCAGUGGACACACAUAGAAGUUUCUGGUGAACGCAGCAGACCAGGAGGCAUCUCUAGGAAAAGAUACAGUCGACGUUUCGGGCCCGAGAUCCUUCGUCAUGACGAACUGAAAGAAGAGCUGAGCGAGCCGCUGAUAAAGCUAAUUAACCAGCACGCAGACGUAUGUCCGGAUGUCCCGAGGCGAUGCAAACAGCCGGUACAUGGUGUUGUUGUCACAUCACGUCAGCCUAGUAAGCAACACCCCUAUAGGAUGAUUAAUUCAGUGAAAAAGGGGCUAAAGAACGCAGAAGUGUAUAUUGACAAUUUAGUGGUCUGGAGUGACAGUGGGAGGGGCAUAUUGUGGCAGUAGAGGAACUGUUUAAAAAGCUGUCUGAAGCCAUCCUGACAGUGAACCUCGCAAAAAAUGAAUUCAGCCACGCGAAGAUCACUUAUCUAGGAUUUGUGGUAGGACAGGGGCAGUUGGCUCCGAUGCAGGCUAAAGUGCAGGCUAUCUCUGAAGUCCCCACCUUAACAGACAAGAGAGCCCUGAGAAGGUUCUUGGGGAUGGUGGGGUAAUAUUGGAUGUUUUGCAUAAACUUUGCGGAUAUUACCCUCCUUCUUACUAAGCUCUUGCCAAAGAAUGCAAAGAUUGUGUGGGACGUCCUUUGUUAUAUUUGUCCGGCACGGAAACCAGUGAUAAUUUACACAGAUCAUAACCCAUUAGAGUUUUUGGCCACUAUGAAGGAUAAAAACAAAAGGUUGCUAAGUUGGAGCCUGGUCUUACAGGAUUUGGUAUUAAAAUAACACAUAUAAAAUGAACGGAAAAUGUGAUUGCUGACUGUCUGUCAAGGUGGUGAAAACUUAAAGUUCUCUGUAUUAGCCGAAUAGCUGAUGACCCUGUAUAUUAGUGUGUAUCUAAUAAUGUAUUCAUGCCCAUAAUUUUUACCCCAGUAAAAAUCCUUUGAAGGGUAGGGGUGUGACGACAAACCAAGUUAUCAGACGAUUGAUGCUAAUGAGAGAGAGAUAAGGGAGACAAUGGAAAAACAUUCAAAAUGUUAAUGAGAGGGGAGAGAGAGAUAACGGAAUAGAAACACAAUUCAGAAUAUUGACAGACCGGUUGCUUUGAACCUGAACUGUUGGAAGUUUGAUGGACAGGCGAUACCCCAGCAGGGGGAUAAAAAGACCAGGUUCGCUACGGCACGAGACACGCCACGAGAUCACGAGACAACGAGACCCUGGAAGAGCGGUGUUCCCCCACAAGUUGGUGAGAGUUUGGAGGUCCAGAUCGCGGGAACCCACCAGAGACGCACAGGGUGCAAAGGUACAAUCGGUGGGAACCUGGUGUGUGUGUCCGCCCUUGCCUGGGUGCCGGGUUCACGGUGGGAAAACGGUCGUAUCCGGAAUGGAGGGGUCACAGUCGGUGACCACAGCGGGAUAGAAUACAUAAAAGGUUCUGCCCGAAACCAGCUGCGAAGAACAUUAAAGGUCUGCCUGAAUCAAAUUUGCAUCUCUCUCUCUCUCUCUCUCCAACGGCACAACAUCGAUUACUGCGAACUGUACUAAGCUGAGCUGAACUCUGCAUCACUUAAGACUGAUCAUUUUACCCCUAGACUGCGAUAGAGCUUGGUAGAUUCCUAUUACCCUAGUUCUGUGUACAUGUGUGUUUUAUCAUUGCUAACCUGUUGCACUUAUAUCCUUACGAUUA